UACAGGGGUCUCGAGCGUUGUUCGGAUUCAUUGGGCGUAAAGGGUGCGUAGGUGGCGCUGUAAGUCGGGUGUGAAAUCCUGAGGCUUAACCUCGGAACUGCAUUCGAUACUGCGGUGCUUGAGGACUGGAGAGGAGACUGGAAUUCAUGGUGUAGCAGUGAAAUGCGUAGAUAUCGAGAGGAAUACCAACGGCGAAGGCAGGUCACUGGGCAGUUACUGACACUGAGGCACGAAGGCCAGGGGAGCAAACGGG
rnacentral:rRNA from 1 species